rnacentral:lncRNA from 1 species
ACAAAACCAUAAAAUUAUUUAUACAGGUCGCCCCAUUAAUGACUUGGGGACUCUAGUUCCAAAAACAAACAUAAAUAAGGAAUUCAAAGAUAAAUUUUUGACUAAAGAGAUAUGGGAACUGAAGAAGGAGCAUCAACGGUUGCAAGUUGAUCCUGAUUCACAUCAAUAGGCUCAACUCCAUUAAGGGAUUCAGUAGAGGUGGUUUCAACUGGGCUUGCAGCAAUGGAUUCGAUUGGGCUUAAAGAAGAUGUGAUACCCGUAUGAGCUUCAACCACGGGAGCUUCAAUCAAGGGAUAAGGGAAGUCCUGCGAUUGCUGAGCUUGUUCUAUGAUUUCACUGACCUUAGCUAAUUUGGCUUCCAGGUUAAACUUUCUUGCCCAACUUCAAGCAGGGUAUCACGACAGGAAUUCAGAAAAGCUCAACUCACCUCAAAUUGUUCGUGACGUACUACAAAUUUGAAAUCUAUCAACUUUAAGAUCAAGCUUUCAAGCUCGUGAACCAUCAGCCGUAAGGAAAAGAAUUAGAGGGCAUCAUCUCUUUAGAUUUAGAGAUAUUUUAGAGAUUGUAACCCUAUCACUUGAAAUUGAAUAUAAUAUUUGUCGCUAUAUUUCUUGUCUUGAUUAUUAUUUUUCAGGAGCGAAAUUUAGUUGUUACAGUAUCAUAAAAAAUUCAAAGAAAAACUUGGACAAGUAAAGUCUUUAACAAAUUGCAAGAAACAGAGCGCUUCAUCACUCUUCAAUAAAGGUGGAAAUGGAAAUUUAAGAGGUACGUCUUUGGCCAAGAAUAAGAAAGGAGAUGGUCCAUGUGUUGCUCGUCAAACAAUAAAAAGAUGAGGUUCUCUAUAAGGUUCUCUAUAAAGUUCUCUUGCCAAGGUUGCAAAAACAAAACAAAAAGAUGAUAGAGAAUGGAGCUCACAGUGCUAAUUGCAUGAAGCUUUUUGGUUCUACAAGGAUCAGUGCCAAUUGCACGAAGCUCCUGAUUCAGCAGCAAGUACACCGGUGCCAACGACACGAAGCUUGCAUCUUUAAUUUGAAGACGAAGUUUGGUGAUGUCAAUACCUGAAAAACAAAACGUGAGAAGGAAUAUAGGAAAAAAGAUAUGAGAGAGAAAGGAAUUGCAAAUGGAAAAGGUUUUGUGUAUCUUCUCGC